rnacentral:misc_RNA from 2 species
ACACCUCAACUCUCAUGGUCUGCCAUGAUGAGCUUGGACUUUGGGGGUCUUGCCGGCCUAGCGUCGGCUCCUCUCAAAUGGAUCAGCUUGCCAGUGUUUGGUGGCAUCACGGGUGUGAUAAUUAUCUACGCUUGUGGUUUUCCACCAUGUAACCUUCAGCAAUGGAGGUUCGCUGGAGCUCACAGAUGUCCCUCCUUGGUGAGGACGGCUUUGAAC